CAAGGGGUAUAUAUUCACAGUCACGCACCAUUUCCUCUUCUUGUUACCGUCGCCGUGAAAUCGCCGAUUAGUGAUUGGAGAAAAAGAGUUUCUCCGCAAUGAGAGCUAAGUGGAAGAAGAAGCGUAUGAGGAGGCUGAAGAGGAAGAGACGAAAGAUGAGACAGCGAUCUAAGUAGAGACCCAUCUCGAAGACUUCGCCUUUUUCGUAUCUCUGCUUCCCUGUUGUUUCUGUCUUUUCGCUUAUAAUCCUUAGUACUGUUGUCUGAACUCGUUUCAAGUUUUUCUUGUCUUCGUUAUUGUUGGGUUGUAUGGAUCUUCGAUUAAUGUUAAACCUUAAUCUAUCGGAUCAGUUUUUUUCUAA